rnacentral:lncRNA from 1 species
GCAUGUGUCAUAUAUUUUAUUAUUUUUUUAUAAACACAUUUAGGAUAUGCCGGCUUGGAUUGAAGAUAUGAUUAUAUUGUCAAACAAAAGUAAAGGCACUUUAGAGUCGUUAGGUUUAGAAAACCUACCAGAUUUCAACGAAUGCAAAAAGAUUAGCAAUUUUCAGGAACAAAUUCUAUGCAUAGUUGAAGCACUUGAAGACAUUAAGGACACUUACCAAAAUGCUAAAGACAUAACUUCACUAACAGCAAGAGUUUUGGCUGGAGGAAGACUAGCCGUACGGGCUUUAUCAAGACUGCAAACUUUGGCCUCAACCAUUGAUAACAAACAGCUAAUGAAAAAAAUAGGAACACCAAUGGCUACACUGAUAUUACUGCAAAGAGAAACUACAUCAGAUAGAACCAGGUGGUUAUGUGGAUCUAUUUUAACUCUGUUAACUGAUUUACCAGUAGUAUCAGACAUAGCGGAUGUAAAUACAGGGUCGUAUGGUCACGUAAACGUCAUCAUGCCCAGACAGUCUAGAAUUAGAAAUCCUGAUAGAACAAUUUUGAGGCUAAGAGAAGGUGUUUCACCUUCAGAUCUAAUAAAUGGAUAUACAUCAAGUUAAAAAAAAGAAAAAAAAAAAAGACCUACUUUGAAAAAUAAGUAUACAUUCCUCUUUCACUUACAUAUUUAUGUAUAUAUAUUUUUGUGUGUACUUGUAUAUAUUUAAAUAUACAAUUUAAACUUGUAAGUUUUCGUAUAUAUUUUUAUCUAUACAUGCCUUGAUAUAUAUACAUAUUUUUUUCAGUUCUAGCGAAUUAUACAAUAUAAACCUUUUCCGAAGGAUUGUUUUAUUUUUUUUUUAUAAAUUGUUUUGUUUUAUUUUUUUAUUUAAAAAGAAAAAGUAAAAACACAUUGUUUCACAUUUUUAAAAUAAAAAUGUUUAAUUUUUUUAAUUUUUUGUUUUA